rnacentral:rRNA from 1 species
UACGUAGGGGGCAAGCGUUGUCCGGAAUUAUUGGGCGUAAAGAGCGUGUAGGCGGCCAGAUAAGUCCGCUGUGAAAUCUCGAGGCUCAACUUCGAGCUGUCGGUGGAAACUAUCUGGCUAGAGUCCGGAAGAGGAGAAUGGAAUUCCUGGUGUAGCGGUGAAAUGCGCAGAUAUCAGGAAGAACACCCGUGGCGAAGGCGGUUCUCUGGGCAUGUCCUGACGCUGAGGAGCGAAAGUGUGGGGAGCGAACAGG